CAGUAGCCGCGGUAAUACGAAGGGCGCAAGCGUUACUCGGAAUUACUGGGCGUAAAGCGUGCGUAGGUGGUGGUUUAAGUCCGUUGUGAAAGCCCUGGGCUCAACCUGGGAAUUGCAGUGGAUACUGGGUCACUAGAGUGUGGUAGAGGAUAGUGGAAUUUUCGGUGUAGCAGUGAAAUGCGUAGAGAUCGGAAGGAACAUCUGUGGCGAGGGCGACUAUCUGGGCCAACACUGACACUGAGGCACGAAAGCGUGGGGAGCAAACAGGAUUAGAUACCCGCGUAGUCCCUGUCUCUUAUAC
rnacentral:rRNA from 1 species